rnacentral:rRNA from 1 species
GAGUUUGAUCGUGGCUCAGGACGAACGCUGGCGGCGUGCUUAACACAUGCAAGUCGAACGAGAAUCUACUGAAAGAGUUUUCGGACAAUGGAAGUAGAGGAAAGUGGCGGACGGGUGAGUAACGCGUGAGGAACCUGCCUUGAAGAGGGGACAACAGUUGGAACGACUGCUAAUACCGCAUGAUGCAUAAGGGUCGCAUGAUUCUUAUGCCAAAGAUUUAUCGCUUCAAGAUGGCCUCGCGUCUGAUUAGCUAGUUGGCGGGGUAACGGCCCACCAAGGCGACGAUCAGUAGCCGGACUGAGAGGUUGAACGGCCACAUUGGGACUGAGAUACGGCCCAGACUCCUACGGGAGGCAGCAGUGGGGAAGUAUUGGGCAAUGGGCGCAAGCCUGACCCAGCAACGCCGCGUGAAGGAAGAAGGCUUUCGGUAUGUAAACUUCUAUCAGCAGGGAAGAAAAUGACGGUACCUGACUAAGAAGCCCGGCUAACUACGUGCCAGCCGCCGCCGUAAC